rfam:Gossypium arboreum cultivar AKA8401 contig_6782_1, whole genome shotgun sequence.
AAUUAAAUUUUUUAUCCAUUUCUAAUGUUAAAAACUAACGUGACUAAUAAAAUAACUAGAAAGUUAACAUGACAUGCUCUGUAUAUCCCAUGUUGAUGUACAAGGACUAGUUAUUAAGAGUGAAAAUAGAUGAAAUUUUUAACA